rnacentral:misc_RNA from 1 species
UUAAGUUCAGCGGGUAGUCCUACCUGAUUUGAGGCCAAAGCUUUAAAGUGUAUUGUCCGUAAGGACGACUAUAAGCAGCACCACUGAAGAGUUCCUAAGGCUGUGGCGCAGAUAAUUAUCACACCGGUGCCCGGCACUCUAAAAGCGCAAGCUAAUGUAUUUCAAGACGAGCCAACUACGGCACAGUCCAAAUCCACCUC